rnacentral:rRNA from 1 species
CCUACGGGAGGCAGCAGUGAGGAAUAUUGGUCAAUGGGCGGAAGCCUGAACCAGCCAAGUCGCGUGAGGGAGUAAGGCCCUACGGGUCGUAAACUUCUUUUGCCGGGGAGCAGUGCCCAGCUCGUGAGCUGUGUGGGAGCGUCCCCGGAGAAAAAGCAUCGGCUAACUCCGUGCCAGCAGCCGCGGUAAUACGGAGGAUGGGAGCGUUAUCGGAUUUUAUUGGGUUUAAGGGGUGCGAAGGCGGGCCUUCAGGCCGGCGGUAAAUUUGCGGGGCUAAACCCCGCCUAGCCGUCGGAACCGGGUGGCUUGAGUACCGGAGAAGUACGCGGAAUGCGUGGUGUAGCGGUGAAAUGCAUAGAGAUCACGCAGAACUCCGAUUGCGAAGGCAGCAUACCGGCGCCCGACUGACGCUGAGGCACGAAAGCGUGGGGAUCGAACAGGAUUAGAUACCCCUGUAGUC